UUCCAUGAUUCUUUCAGUGAAAGCUGAAGAACACUUCAAAGAAUCUUUUAAAACAAAAAUCAACCCGAUCUGACUACCAGAAGUGGAGUUAUGACCCAAGUUACCUCAAACUGUCUUUUUUCUUGGACAUGAUUUACAAAAACCUGGAUAAAAACGGUUCUAAUGGAUGGAUUUCCAUGAUUCUUUUAGUGAAAGCUGAAGAACACUUCAAAGAAUCUUUUAAAACAAAAAUCAACCCGAUCUGACUACCAGAAGUGGAGUUAUGACCCAAGUUACCUCAAACUGUCUUUUUUCUUGGACAUGAUUUACAAAAACCUGGAUAAAAAAGGUUCUAAUGGAUGGAUUUCCAUGAUUCUUUUAGUGAAAGCUGAAGAACACUUCAAAGAAUCUUUUAAAACAAAAAUCAACCCGAUCUGACUACCAGAAGUGGAGUUAUGACCCAAGUUACCUCAAACUGUCUUUUUUCUUGGACAUGAUUUACAAAAACCUGGAUAAAAACGGUUCUAAUGGAUGGAUUUCCAUGAUUCUUUUAGUGAAAGCUGAAGAACACUUCAAAGAAUCUUUUAAAACAAAAAUCAACCCGAUCUGACUACCAGAAGUGGAGUUAUGACCCAAGUUACCUCAAACUGUCUUUUUUCUUGGACAUGAUUUACAAA